rnacentral:rRNA from 1 species
GAUCAUGGCUCAGAUUGAACGCUGGCGGCAGGCCUAACACAUGCAAGUCGAGCGGUAACAGAGAUAGCUUGCUAUCUGCUGACGAGCGGCGGACGGGUGAGUAAUGCUUGGGAAUAUGCCUUUAGGUGGGGGACAACAGUUGGAAACGACUGCUAAUACCGCAUGAUGUCUACGGACCAAAGUGGGGGACCUUCGGGCCUCACGCCUAAAGAUUAGCCCAAGUGGGAUUAGCUAGUUGGUUGAGGUAAAGGCUCACCAAGGCAACGAUCCCUAGCUGGUUUGAGAGGAUGAUCAGCCACACUGGAACUGAGACACGGUCCAGACUCCUACGGGAGGCAGCAGUGGGGAAUAUUGCACAAU